rnacentral:rRNA from 1 species
UACGUAGGGAGCGAGCGUUGUCCGGAUUCAUUGGGCGUAAAGAGCUCGUAGGCGGCUUGGUAAGUCGGAUGUGAAACCUCCAGGCUCAACCUGGAGUCGCCAUCCGAUACUGCCAUGGCUAGAGUCCGGUAGGGGCCCACGGAAUUCCUGGUGUAGCGGUGAAAUGCGCAGAUAUCAGGAGGAACACCGAUGGCGAAGGC